rnacentral:rRNA from 1 species
GACGAACGCUGGCGGCGUGCUUAACACAUGCAAGUCGAGCGAGAAAGUACCUUCGGGUGCGAGUAAAGCGGCGAACGGGAGAGUAACACGUGGGCAACCUGCCCUGGAGACUGGGACAACCAUUCGAAAGGAUGGCUAAUACCGGAUAUCCUGCGUGAUCGCAUGGUCGCGUAAUAAACGGUAGCUUCGGCUUCCGCUCCAGGAUGGGCCCGCGGCCCAUUAGCUUGUUGGUAGGGUAACGGCCUACCAAGGCAACGAUGGGUAGCCGGCCUGAGAGGGCGAUCGGCCUCACUGGGACUGAGACACGGCCCAGACUCCUACGGGAGGCAGCAGUGGGGAAUCUUGCGCAAUGGGCGAAAGCCUGACGCAGCAACGCCGCGUGGGGGAAGAAGGCCUUCGGGUUGUAAACCUCUGUCGGGAGGGACGAAGCCACCUGCGUUAAUAGCGUAAGGGGUGACGGUACCUCUAAAGGAAGCCCCGGCUAACUACGUG